rnacentral:rRNA from 1 species
GAUGAACGCUGGCGGCGUGCCUAAUACAUGCAAGUCGAGCGAACAGACGAGGGGCUUGCUCCUCUGACGUUAGCGGCGGACGGGUGAGUAACACGUGGAUAACCUACCUAUAAUACUGGGAUAACUUCGGGAAACCGGAGCUAAUACCGGAUAAUAUAUUGAACCGCAUGGUUCAAUAGUGAAAGACGGUUUUGCUGUCACUUAUAGAUGGUUCCGCGCCGCAUUAGCGAGUUGGUAAGGUAACGGCUUACCAAGGCGACGAUGCGUAGCCGACCUGAGAGGGUGAUCGGCCACACUGGAACUGAGACACGGUCCAGACUCCUACGGGAGGCAGCAGUAGGGAAUCUUCCGCAAUGGGCGAAAGCCUGACGGAGCAACGCCGCGUGAGUGAUGAAGGUCUUCGGAUCGUAAAACUCUGUUAUUAGGGAAGAACAAAUGUGUAAGUAACUAUGGACGUCUUGACGGUACCUAAUCAGAAAGCCACGGCUAACUACGUG